rnacentral:rRNA from 1 species
CCUACGUGAGGCAGCAGUGAGGAAUAUUGGUCAAUGGGCGCGAGCCUGAACCAGCCAAGUCGCGUGAGGGAUGAAGGUUCUAUGGAUCGUACACCUCUUUUAUAAGGGAAUAAAGUGUGGGACGUGUCCUAUUUUGUAUGUACCUUAUGAAUAAGGAUAGGCUAACUCCGUACCAGCAGCCGCGGUAAUACGGAGGAUCCGAGCUUUAUCCGGAUUUAUUGGGUUUAAAGGGUGCGUAGGCGGCCUGUUAAGUCAGCGGUGAAAGUCAGGGGCUCAACCAUAGAAUUGCCGUUGAAACUGGGGGUCUUGAGUAUGUUUGAGGCAGGCGGAAUGCGUGGUAUAGCGGUGAAAUGCUUAGAUAUCACGCAGAACCCCGAUUGCGAAGGCAGCCGGCCAAGCCAUGACUGACGCUGAUGCACGAAAGCGUGGGGAUCAAACAGGAUUAGAUACCCGGGUAGUC